GAGAAGACCCUAGAAAUUUUUAUAUAGAUUUUUGUUGGGGCGACAUGAUAACAAAUAACUUAUCAGAAAAUAUAAGAAUCUGCUUAGCUGUAAAACCAAAUUACUCUAGGGAUAACAGCAUAAUAUCUUUGAAGAUUGUGACCUCGAUGUUGGACUAGGGAGGGGAGUACUUAAAAGGUAUUCUCCCAAGCUCUGUUCGAGCUAUUACCCCUACAUGAUCUGAGUUCAGACCGG
rnacentral:rRNA from 1 species